rnacentral:sRNA from 1 species
AUUUAGCUUAUUUCCGUUUUCCUUUCUUGAUGUCACAUUCAGCCUGAUACAAAGAGGAAAAUGAGCUUGUAGCGGCCCACUAGACUCGUAGCAGACUUUUUGCGUUUUUACUUUGACGGUGUAUUUUUUCUUUAUUUAUAUGUUAGACCAUCUUCAUUGGGGGUAUCUCAUAGGAGUUUCUCACAAUUAAAAAUAUAAAAAUAAUAAAAAUGAAGGAGAGAGAGUGUAGAAAGUUUCCACUUGAGAAACUUUGAGAUACUCUGUACAACCCAUCAUGACAAUUCUCAUUUUACUAUUGGUUUAAUUUUUUAACUAAAAUACUUUUUUAAUCAAAUAAUCAAAUUAUAAUAUAAUAUUAAU